rnacentral:rRNA from 1 species
GAUGAACGCUGGCGGCGUGCCUAAUACAUGCAAGUCGAGCGAACAGAUAAGGAGCUUGCUCCUUUGACGUUAGCGGCGGACGGGUGAGUAACACGUGGGUAACCUACCUAUAAGACUGGGAUAACUUCGGGAAACCGGAGCUAAUACCGGAUAACAUUUGGAACCGCAUGGUUCUAAAGUGAAAGAUGGUUUUGCUAUCACUUAUAGAUGGACCCGCGCCGUAUUAGCUAGUUGGUAAGGUAACGGCUUACCAAGGCGACGAUACGUAGCCGACCUGAGAGGGUGAGCAGCCACACUGGAACUGAGACACGGUCCAGACUCCUACGGGAGGCAGCAGUAGGGAAUCUUCCGCAAUGUGCGAAAGCCUGACGGAGCAACGCCGCGUGAGUGAUGAAGGGUUUCGGCUCGUAAAACUCUGUUAUUAGGGAAGAACAAACGUGUAAGUAACUGUGCACGUCUUGACGUUACCUAAUCAGAAAGCCACGGCUAACUACGUG